rnacentral:rRNA from 1 species
UCCAGACUCCUACGGGAGGCAGCAGUGAGGAAUAUUGGUCAAUGGCCGGGAGGCUGAACCAGCCAAGUCGCGUGAGGGAAGACGGCCCUACGGGUUGUAAACCUCUUUUGUCAGGGAGCAAGGUGCAGGUCGGGACCUGCUGUGAGAGUACCUGAAGAAAAAGCAUCGGCUAACUCCGUGCCAGCAGCCGCGGUAAUACGGAGGAUGCGAGCGUUAUCCGGAUUUAUUGGGUUUAAACGGUGCGUAGGCGGAAUAUCAAGUCAGCGGUAAAAAUUCGGGGCUCAACCCCGUCGUGCCGUUGAAACUGAUGUUCUUGAGUGGGCGAGAAGUAUGCGGAAUUCGUCGUGUAGCGGUGAAAUGCUUAGAUAUGACGAAGAACCCCGAUUGCGAAGGCAGCUUGCUGCAGCGGAACUGACGCUGAUGCUCGAAAGCGCGGGUAUCGAACAGGAUUAGAUACCCUAGUA